UACGGAGGGGGCUAGCGUUGUUCGGAAUUACUGGGCGUAAAGCGCGUGUAGGUGGCAAGGCAAGUCGGGUGUGAAAGCCCUGGGCUCAACCCAGGAAGUGCACUCGAUACUGCCUCGCUAGAGUCCCGGAGAGGUUGGUGGAACUCUCGGUGUAGAGGUGAAAUUCGUAGAUAUCGAGAAGAACACCGGUGGCGAAGGCGGCCAACUGGACGGUGACUGACACUGAGACGCGAAAGCGUGGGGAGCAAACAGG
rnacentral:rRNA from 1 species